rnacentral:rRNA from 1 species
GACGAACGCUUGCGGCGUGCUUAACACAUGCAAGUCGAACGGAAAGGCCCUGCUUUUGUGGGGUGCUCGAGUGGCGAACGGGUGAGUAACACGUGAGUAACCUGCCCUUGACUUUGGGAUAACUUCAGGAAACUGGGGCUAAUACCGGAUAGGAGCUCCUGCUGCAUGGUGGGGGUUGGAAAGUUUCGGCGGUUGGGGAUGGACUCGCGGCUUAUCAGCUUGUUGGUGGGGUAGUGGCUUACCAAGGCUUUGACGGGUAGCCGGCCUGAGAGGGUGACCGGCCACAUUGGGACUGAGAUACGGCCCAGACUCCUACGGGAGGCAGCAGUGGGGAAUAUUGCACAAUGGGCGGAAGCCUGAUGCAGCAACGCCGCGUGCGGGAUGACGGCCUUCGGGUUGUAAACCGCUUUCGCCUGUGACGAAGCGUGAGUGACGGUAAUGGGUAAAGAAGCACCGGCUAACUACGUGCCAGCAGCCGCGGUGAUACGUAGGGUGCGAGCGUUGUCCGGAUUUAUUGGGCGUAAAGGGCUCGUAGGUGGUUGAUCGCGUCGGAAGUGUAAUCUUGGGGCUUAACCCUGAGCGUGCUUUCGAUACGGGUUGACUUGAGGAAGGUAGGGGAGAAUGGAAUUCUUGGUGGAGCGGUGGAAUGCGCAGAUAUCAGGAGGAACACCAGUGGCGAAGGCGGUUCUCUGGGCCUUUCCUGACGCUGAGGAGCGAAAGCGUGGGGAGCGAACAGGCUUAGAUACCCUGGUAGUCCACGCUGUAAACGGUGGGUACUAGGUGUGGGGUCCAUUCCACGGGUUCCGUGCCGUAGCUAACGCUUUAAGUACCCCGCCUGGGGAGUACGGCCGCAAGGCUAAAACUCAAAGGAAUUGACGGGGCCCCGCACAAGCGGCGGAGCAUGCGGAUUAAUUCGAUGCAACGCGUAGAACCUUACCUGGGUUUGACAUGGAUCGGGAGUGCUCAGAGAUGGGUGUGCCUCUUUUGGGGUCGGUUCACAGGUGGUGCAUGGCUGUCGUCAGCUCGUGUCGUGAGAUGUUGGGUUAAGUCCCGCAACGAGCGCAACCCUUGUUCACUGUUGCCAGCACGUUAUGGUGGGGACUCAGUGGAGACCGCCGGGGUCAACUCGGAGGAAGGUGGGGAUGACGUCAAGUCAUCAUGCCCCUUAUGUCCAGGGCUUCACGCAUGCUACAAUGGCUGGUACAGAGAGUGGCGAGCCUGUGAGGGUGAGCGAAUCUCGGAAAGCCGGUCUCAGUUCGGAUUGGGGUCUGCAACUCGACCUCAUGAAGUCGGAGUCGCUAGUAAUCGCAGAUCAGCAACGCUGCGGUGAAUACGUUCCCGGGGCU